UUACAGCCAUAUCAAGUUGAAACACAAGUUCUCGCACGAUCACCGAAGUUAAGCAAUACCGAGCCUGGUUAAUAUCUAGAUGGGUGGCUACUUUGGAAUACCAGGUGCU